rnacentral:rRNA from 1 species
UACGUAGGUGGCAAGCGUUGUCCGGAUUUACUGGGCGUAAAGCGUGCGCAGGCGGUUCGUUGUGUCUGAUGUGAAAGCCCCGGGCUCAACCUGGGAAUGGCAUUGGAAACUGGCGAGCUAGAGUGUGGCAGAGGGGGGUGGAAUUCCGCGUGUAGCAGUGAAAUGCGUAGAGAUGCGGAGGAACACCGAUGGCGAAGGCAGCCCCCUGGGCUGACACUGACGCCUCAGGCACGAAAGCGUGGGGAGCAAACAGG